rnacentral:tRNA from 1 species
GGGGCUGUAGCUCAGCUGGGAGAGCGCAUCAAUCGCACUGAUGAGGCCAGGGUUCUGAAUCCCCUCAGCUCCACCA